rnacentral:snRNA from 1 species
AGCUAUCUUUUAGAAUCUUGUCUAGAAGGCUUUCUGACUUUGGUCAGAAACCCAU